CUGGUCAGUCACCCAAUGCAUAGUUUCCCAAACUUGUUUUGGUUUGUGGCAUAGUGCUACACAGCGGAUUCAAGUUUGGGAAACCCUGAACUAGUGAGCGCACCAUUUUACAAUGGGGCCGCGGGCUGAACAUCAAUUUGUAAAUGCAGAUGUUUUUGUACUCAACAUAAAGGGGAAAAUGACUCCACGUUGCAUAAUGCGUGUGUUGUUUACAUGGAUAAAAGCAGCAUAAUGUUUAACUAACACUGGACAAAGAAAUAACCACAUGUACAAGCAUAGAAUACGAACGAAAAUCCAUCUACUUCACUAAAUUAACUGAAUAAUAUACCUCUUUCUUUGUCCUCUGCUUUAGAUGGUGACAGGUCAGCACAGUCGCCUGGGUCCGGUGGGUUGCGAGUUCGGCAGUUGGGGAUUUCGAAGCUGCGACAUUGUUGUUGAUGUCUGCAAGGCGCGUGGGGUUGUUUCUCUGCGUUUUUUGGCGCGGUUGUUGGUGUGUCCGCUGCAACCCUGACGUUGUUGAACGCAAUUUUCUCCCACCUUUCUUCAACAGUGCUUGCCUUGUUUUGCCUAGGCUUGCCCCGACGUGGUAGGAAGUCAAAACGGGUGGCUUAUUGUUUUCAAAGUUGUCCAGAUUUGGUUCUAUAUUUAUUAGUGAUUCGCCCAACAUGACUUCAAAGUGGAGAGGGUAGGACACAUCAACGAUACUAGCUAUUUUUAUUUUUGCGAAAGUGGACCCGGGAAGAGUUGCAGGGGAAAGAAGAGAACAAUGUGCCUAUUUGAAAGCUAGAAAAAACAUAAACUUGCUGGGAGGGCUCAUCAGGACGACUGACUGAACCGAAUACAUUCGUCUCCACACUUGACUCUCAGCUGCGCAACCAACAUAAUCGAUUUGGGCACCAGACAUGUCUGUAUAGCCCAGGGAUCAUCAACUAGAUCUAAGCGAGGUUUGAAAUGAUUGUUUUAGUCAAUUAUUAUAUAUGUUUGGACUUCUUGCGGUCAAUUUGAAGUCUACAAAUGAUUUGUAAUUAUGUAAUUAUGUUCCGGCCCCCUGACCAUCUGUCUAGUUGAUG
rnacentral:lncRNA from 1 species